AAUAUGCCAUCAAUAUGACAAUACUAUGACAUAAGGCAUUUCAGUAUAGUAGCUGAAGUUACCCAAUAUUAUUAUGCCGAGGGUUUUCCAACUUUAUUAAGUAAGAGGGUUGACGAAAAAAGGGUAUACUGAAUGAAAUAUAUAUUUUCAGCAACAAAUUGAAAAAGAUAUUUUAAAGAGAGAAAAGUGAGUUUGUUUCUGUUACUGUGACAUAUUUUUCUGAUUAGGUUCAACAUUGUGCCAGGAACGAAAUAGAGCCAGCCAGCAAGGCUUAAAAAAGUUGUUUGGCAAAAAUAAUCCCACAUCGUAUUUAGAGAGAACUUUAUCAGUUUCUAUAAUUUGUUGACAUGAAUUGAAAAGAAACUCGUGAUCCUUCAGGCAAUUACGGGGAAACGAAGAUUGGUAACGACAAUCUGGGCACUCUUCCUGUUCCAAUCUGAUCCCUCUGCCGAACAACUAAAAUUCAAACUAGUAUUUUUGGAAUGUCAUUUGCUUUUUUAUUAUUUAUUAAUUAUUAGAAGGUCGUUAUUUAUUAUUUUAUGUUUUUCGUUGUGGUCGUAUCCUGAUUGGCGGGGACAUAAUUUUUUUAAUUUAGUCGAAUAAUGUCCCUUCACCUCAUUUAUCAUGAAAUUUCUUGUUAAAAAUUUUAGCCCGUUCUUAAGGAGUCAGUUCUGGUAUUGGAAAUCGCCAGCUCAUUCUUGCUUUUGCAUCAGCACUGACGACGCCUCUUUAGGCUUGGCAGCCAUGGCGGGCUGUAGAGGAGUUACUCGGUGUCUUGCAGAUAUAUUGCAAGUCAGACUCAAUCCAAAAUGAUCAUCUGAAAAUGUUUCUCAGGACACCAGUGAUGAAUAUUUCAGCCAAAAAAAGGGAUUACUUGCUCAUAAUGGUCGGUAACAAGGUGUUAGAAACCAAUUCUUUUCAGGGUAAUUAUUAUGAGAUAGUCUAUCCCAAGUGUUAAGAUAAUAUAGCCAACUGAGCUAAUGAAAUAAAAACUAAAACAAGAAUUUGAAUACCACGUAUUAUUUGACAAAAAUUCGGGGAAAGUUGGAAUUUUAUGUCAUAAAGUUCUAA